ensembl:lncRNA
UGGCAAUCGGGUAAAAAACCUAUGACAAGUAUAUCAAAUUCCAGAGCAUGCGCUUUUUACAUAGCUCUAAAUAGCUGACUUCCUGUUGGGCGGAGCCUAUGACAUGCAAUACGAAAGUUGUUCGGCACAAUGAGAUCUAUAUGUGUACUGAGAUUCAUAUGAAUACGUGCAAGUAUGUUUGAACUAUACAUCAACAUUUCUGACUGUGUUCCAGGGGGCGCCGUAGAGCCCCUGUGCCACGCCCGGGUCUCAGCCUCUGCAGCCUCCUAAUGGUCACAGAUUCUAAGGUGUGUGCAAAUUUUCAAGAGUUUUUGAGCAUGUUAAGGGCCCCAAAAGCCACCAAAACUUUGACGGAAAAUAAGAAUACUUAACCCUAAAAAGCCAACUUCCUGUUGGGCGGAGCCUAUGACAUGCAAUACGAAAGUUGUUUGGAUUGAUGAGAUCUAUAUGUGUACCGAGUUUCAUAUGUCUACGUGCAAGUAUGUAUGAUAUAUGGCCCUCCAUAUUCCAGGGGGCGCUGUAGAGCCCCUGUGCCACGCCCGUGUAUCAGUCUCUGCCCGGCCCUAAUGGCCGCAGGUUCCAAUGUGUGUGCCAAUUUUCAAGAGUUUUCGAGUAUGUUAAGGGCCCCAAAAGCCCCCGAGACGUUGGAAAAAAAUAAUAAUAAUAAUAAAAAAUAAUCCUAAGGAAAACAAUAGGGCUCUCGCCCUCCAGGCUUGAGCCCUAAAUAUAGCUGCAAGCAGCGAUGGCGGGCUCAAGCCAUCAG